rnacentral:rRNA from 1 species
CAGUAGCCACGGUAAAACGGAGGGUGCAAGCGUUAUCCGGAUUUAUUGGGUUUAAAGGGUCCGUAGGCGGACUUAUAAGUCAGUGGUGAAAGCCUGUCGCUUAACGAUAGAACUGCCAUUGAUACUGUAAGUCUUGAGUAUAUUUGAGGUAGCUGGAAUAAGUAGUGUAGCGGUGAAAUGCAUAGAUAUUACUUAGAACACCAAUUGCGAAGGCAGGUUACCAAGAUAUAACUGACGCUGAGGGACGAAAGCGUGGGUAGCGAACAGGAUUAGAUACCCCUGUAGUCCCUGUCUCUUAUAC